GAUCCUGGCUCAGAGUGAACGCUGGCGGCAGGCCUAAUACAUGCAAGUCGAACGGCAGCACAGCAGAGCUUGCUCUGUGGGUGGCGAGUGGCGGACGGGUGAGGAAUACGUGGGAAUCUGCCCAGUCGUGGGGGAUAACGUAGGGAAACUUACGCUAAUACCGCAUGCGCCCUUCGGGGGAAAGCCGGGGACCUUCGGGCCUGGCGCGAUUGGAUGAGCCCACGUCGGAUUAGCUAGUUGGCGGGGUAAAGGCCCACCAAGGCGACGAUCCGUAGCUGGUCUGAGAGGAUGAUCAGCCACACUGGAACUGAGACACGGUCCAGACUCCUACGGAAGGCAGCAGUAGGGAAUAUUGGACAAUGGGCGCAAGCCUGAUCCAGCCAUGCCGCGUGAGUGAAGAAGGCCCUCGGGUUGUAAAGCUCUUUUGUCCGGAAAGAAAAGCGCCGGGUUAAUACCCUGGUGUCCUGACGGUACCGGAAGAAUAAGCACCGGCUAACUUCGUG
rnacentral:rRNA from 1 species